GCGGGUGUAGUUUAAUGGUAGAACUUCAGCCUUCCAAGCUGUUAGCAGGGGUUCGAUUCCCCUUACCCGCUCCA
rnacentral:tRNA from 1 species